AAAAGCUGUUUCGCUGAGCUGUGUUCAACUUCUCAAAACUUUCAGUUGUUUCGUUAUGAGAUUUCACCAGACACCCCUGGCUCCAGCACCAUGGCACAGAACAUGGGGUGCCCAACACCUGCUGCUUUGCACAUUUUGGAUGCUGCUGCUUAAUAUCUACCCCUGCUCUUUGCAGAAACUGUUUACAGCUGUUUCAAAGGAGAAACUAGUUCAGCAAACUUCUCAAGUGGACAAGAAGAGGUGCAUCCUGGCAAAGUGAGCAGUUGUCCAGAUACCAGUUCUAUCACUGACCAAUUACAGACAAGUGUCACUCUCCAGUCAG